rnacentral:rRNA from 1 species
GAUGAACGCUGGCGGCGUGCCUAAUACAUGCAAGUCGAGCGGACGGACGAGAAGCUUGCUUCUCUGAUGUUAGCGGCGGACGGGUGAGUAACACGUGGAUAACCUACCUAUAAGACUGGGAUAACUUCGGAAAACCGGAGCUAAUACCGGAUAAUAUUUUGAACCGCAUGGUUCAAAAGUGAAAGACGGUCUUGCUGUCACUUAUAGAUGGAUCCGCGCUGCAUUAGCUAGUUGGUAAGGUAACGGCUUACCAAGGCAACGAUGCAUAGCCGACCUGAGAGGGUGAUCGGCCACACUGGAACUGAGACACGGUCCAGACUCCUACGGGAGGCAGCAGUAGGGAAUCUUCCGCAAUGGGCGAAAGCCUGACGGAGCAACGCCGCGUGAGUGAUGAAGGUCUUCGGAUCGUAAAACUCUGUUAUUAGGGAAGAACAUAUGUGUAAGUAACUGUGCACAUCUUGACGGUACCUAAUCAGAAAGCCACGGCUAACUACGUG